rnacentral:tRNA from 1 species
GCUCCUGUAGCUCAAGUGGAUAGAGCGAUUCCCUCCGAAGGAAUAGGCAGUUGGUUCGAGUCCAAUCGGGAGCA